rfam:Pan troglodytes isolate Yerkes chimp pedigree #C0471 (Clint) chromosome 10, whole genome shotgun sequence.
GCCGGGUAUGGUGGCGCAUGCCUGUAGUCCCAGCUACUCAGGAGGCUGAGGCAGGAGAAUCGCUUGAAUCCAGGAGGUGGAGGUUGCAGUGAGCCGAGAUUGUGUCACUGCACUCCAGCCUGGGUGACAGAGUGAGACUCUGUCUCAA